UCACGGGUUUGCACCCGUGGCUACAACAUGCCGUCCCUUCGGGACU
rnacentral:sRNA from 1 species